ensembl:miRNA gga-mir-1567 gga-mir-1567
GGCCCCUGGAGGGGACUUGGCAGCCAUGUGAAGGCUGUGCUGUGGUGCUUACCUGACUGCUCAUGGCUGCCUGUUCCCAUCCCUGUGCU